AUAGUUAAAUUUAAAUAUAUUCCUAUAUUGGCCAAUGUAAUGCAGGACAUUACAAUUAAUCAUGCGACCGACAUUUUCUAUUGUGUCUUUUGAGUGUCCUGAUGUCGGGAAAAUGAUAAUACACAACGCAAUAAUCAUUUGUCUGUGAAAAAGGUCCAGACACUGUCGGCGGCCAGGACUC